CAAAUGGACGACUAGGGUUCCGGUCCGCCGCAAGCAAGCCUUGCGCGGAUGCUGGUCCGAGAGUUGUCGACCUCAGAGGCGCAUCGAGGUUACACGGCGGGAUAAAAGCCCGGGAGAG
rnacentral:sRNA from 2 species